rnacentral:rRNA from 1 species
AGUGAACGCUGGCGGUAGGCCUAACACAUGCAAGUCGAACGGCAGCACAGUAAGAGCUUGCUCUUACGGGUGGCGAGUGGCGGACGGGUGAGGAAUACAUCGGAAUCUACUUUUUCGGGGGGGAUAACGUAGGGAAACUUACGCUAAUACCGCAUACGACCUACGGGUGAAAGCAGGGGAUCUUCGGACCUUGCGCGAUUGAAUGAGACGAUGUCGGAUUAGCUAGUUGGCGGGAUAAAGGCCCACCAAGGCGACGAUCCGUAGCUGGUCUGAGAGGAUGAUCAGCCACACUGGAACUGAGACACGGUCCAGACUCCUACGGGAGGCAGCAGUGGGGAAUAUUGGACAAUGGGCGCAAGCCUGAUCCAGCCAUACCGCGUGGGUGAAGAAGGCCUUCGGGUUGUAAAGCCCUUUUGUUGGGAAAGAAAAGCAGCAGGUUAAUACCCCGCUGUUCUGACGGUACCCAAAGAAUAAGCACCGGCUAACUUCGUG